rnacentral:rRNA from 1 species
GUGGGGAAUAUUGGACAAUGGGCGCAAGCCUGAUCCAGCCAUGCCGCGUGAGUGAUGAAGGCCUUAGGGUUGUAAAGCUCUUUCAGUGGGGACGAUAAUGACGGUACCCACAGAAGAAGCCCCGGCUAACUUCGUGCCAGCAGCCGCGGUAAUACGAAGGGGGCUAGCGUUGUUCGGAUUUACUGGGCGUAAAGCGCACGUAGGCGGAUCGUUAAGUCGGGGGUGAAAUCCUGGAGCUCAACUCCAGAACUGCCUUCGAUACUGGCGAUCUUGAGUCCGGAAGAGGUGAGUGGAACUCCUAGUGUAGAGGUGGAAUUCGUAGAUAUUAGGAAGAACACCAGUGGCGAAGGCGGCUCACUGGUCCGGUACUGACGCUGAGGUGCGAAAGCGUGGGGAGCAAACAGGAUUAGAAACCCGAGUAGUCC